ensembl:lncRNA novel transcript
GGGAAAAAAUAAAUAUCUCAGAAUCUCCUAUACCUCAGAUUCCUUGAAAACUCAUGGUACGAAAUGAUCGACUGUCUGGUUGGUUCAGCACAGGGAAUAAAAACAGCUGAAAGAGGCAACAUGCACCAGACAGACACGAAUAGUAUUUUCAGCUCCCAGCUGCAAUUCUACAGCAAUAGAAACUUACAUAGGACACCCGUACUCGCCGGCGAUGCACCAGCCCGCAGCACUGCAUGAAGAGGGGGCAGAACGCAGUCAGCGUGUGGCUUCACCAAGCUGCACUGUGCCUUGUCUUCUCGUCACAGCCUCGGUCCAUUUCUUCCCACCUUCUACUCCCAGUAAUAGAGACAGACAUCGGCUGCUGGGCUAAGAUGAAUGUCCCAGCUUCUCCUGCAACUUGGAUGGCCACGGGACUAGAUUCUGGUCAAUGGGCAGAUGUAGAAAUGGUAUGUGCCAAUACCCAAGUCAUGUGUCACUGCUGAGAGCUGGGACAGCCAUUUAUAAUGAGAAGAAAGCUGCACAUUCAGGAGAAGAGAGCGACAAGACAGACCCAAGUCCCUAGGACAGGGGAGCUGCCAUAUUGGCCCAAUAGUGUUUACGUUUGGACUACACCAAGAAAGAGACAUUAACUCCUAUAUUGGCACUUUUGCUCUGAUUCCAAUUAUAGAUGCUAAACUUGUACUAUUAUUACUAUUGUUAUUAUUAUUAAUUUUUGAGACAGGGUCUGUGUCUGUUACCCAGGCUGGAGUGCAGUGGUGCAGUCUCAGCUCACUAUAGCCUCAACCUCCUAGGCUCACAGUGAUCCUCCCACCUCAGCCUCCCAAGUAGUAGUUGGGACUACAGGUAUGUGCCAACAUGCGCAGCUAAUUUUUGUAUUUUUUUGUAGAGAUGGGGUUUUGCCAUGUUUCCCAGGCUGGUCUUGAACUCCUGAGCUCGUGCAAUCUACCCACCUUGGCCUCUCAAAGUGCUGGGAUUAGAGGCCUGAGCCACCAUGCCCGGCCUAAACAUGGAUUUUAAAAGCACCUCAAAGUGUUUCUGGAAUGAAUGAUGAAUUCACAGAUCCAAGCCUGUGGAGGAGGCGGGGGAGUGGAAGAGGGAAAAAAGAAAAGGCAAGAAUGGAGACGAGAAUCAGGAACUCAGGCUGGGACUACCUGGGUCCCAGCAAAAGAGUUUAGACACAGCAAAGAGUUUAGAAUUGAACUGGCAGUACAUGCAGAAUUACUGAAACUUUUAAAUGUGAAAAUAUCUGUUGUUUUAUUAAGAAGUAGAAAAAAAAUUCCAGACUGUUGAGUCUAAAAAUAACCUGGUCAAUAGUUCAACUUCAGCAAGAAAUUGAAAGCUUUUGAGCUUGUAUACUUGUCUGUGAUAACUGUUCAUUUACUAAAUAAUCAAAUAAAGUCAACAAAAACUAGCUGCUUGGCUCAUGUAGCUAAAUUACAAACCUAAUGAAUUGCUAAAUUAGCUAUUUUGUUAUAAUACGAGAUAUCUUAAAAGCAAAAUAUUGAAAAGCGUUAAGAAGAGGCUCAAUGACAAAAAUCAACAAAUUAAAAGUAAUCAAAGGUAAAUGUAGAUAAUAUCGAUGGAAGAUAUAUGUUUUUAAAUCCAAGGGAUUUAUUCCUGGCCAGUCUUUUGAAAGUAUGAGGAUUAAUGUUUCUUUACUAUUCACUUUCUAUGUUACUAUUAGUUAGGAGUGGCAAGAACACAGUCAGAGUUAAACAUCAGAUGAAGUGCUUCCUUCAAGAAGAGAACUCUUUCAUAAUAAGAAAUGAAAGACCUAAAGAAGCCUUCUGUAGCAGAACUGAAGGUUUUUUGUCAGAAUUGACUCUGCUUAAGUGCUUCUGGCUUUUCUGUGGCUGCGAUUUUAGGAAAGAAGGGUCCGUCUUCUGACAGACACCUGCUUAAAUACUCAUUAGACUCUCCCUUCACAGUACGUCUGCAACUAUGAAGAGCCUAGGGUGCUUAAGUUGACCAAAAACUCUUGCUAAUUUCAGUAAAAACAAAAAAAGGACCAACUGUCUCUAUCCAUCCAUUCAGUCAACAAUAUCAACUGAGUGCUGCUCAUCAAGUGCGUGUCUCUGCUGGGCACCAGUAGGAAAACGACAAGUAAAACAACCAAUGUCCUUGCCUUCAAGGAGCUUAAAGUCCAGGGGGCAAGGCAAUUUGAAUCAAAUAAUCACAUAAGCAUAGAAUUACAAGCUAAUAAGAUCUUUGCAUGAAUGUACAGAAUACUAUGAGAAUGUAGAGGGGGUUGACAUCUUCGAGAAUUAGAAGGGUCAGAAAAGGUGUCUCUGGGGCACUGCUACCUGAGCUGAGGCUCAAGGGUGGGAAGGAGUUCACUAAAGGCAGGGAGAGGGAAGCUCUACGUGGUAGAAGGGAGAAGGCCCAGCUUAAGCAGUUGGAGAAUAAAGUAAGAGAGGGAGGAGAAGAUGAGGUUAGAGAGGCAGGUGAUUAUCAGGCAAGAUCAUGAGGGCCACGCUGGGGAUCUUUUCUCUUUCUACUAAGAGCAGUGGGAUUUCUUUCCCACAAGAGGCAUGAUCAGAUUUGUGCCAUUUAAAAUCCACUUUGGCAGGACAGUUGAAGACAGAUUGGAAGACGGCUAGAGAGAAGCCAGGGAGAUCAGCUAGGAAGUACUUUUACCCAAGCAAAAGAUGAUGCUCUCAUGCUAAGGAGCUGAAGAUGGGAGAUAAGGAAAAUGAAUGAAUCUAUUAGAUAUUGGGGAAUUCAAGUAGGUAAGUGCAAGGACAGAAACAGAAAAUGAAACCCAAUGUAAUACAUACACGUUCCCGUGUUCUCUCAUUCCUGAACAUUUCCAUGCAUUUCUGAAGUUCAGUCUUCAGUAAUCCGAUCUGUGAUAAACCUUUGUUUUCAUGUCAGUGCCAGUGUACUUCUAUUUCUUGGUCCAGUCCUCAUUUCUCUCCUUAGGGUCCUGAACAAAAUCUCUAUCUGGCUGCUUGCAGCUUCCACUGAACUCCACUUCUUUAGCCACCAAAAUGCACACUCUAUUUCAUUCCAGCUUCUACAGAACUGAAAACCUUUCUCUAAUUUUCCUUUAUUUCUCACCAAAGUGUCUGGGUUGUCUUUUGAUGUACGGGAUUUUUUUUGGUUUUUGUUUUGUUUUUCAGACCAACAAUCAAUCAUUUUUUUUUCUCAGUAAUGAGAGUGGCAACAUUUGUUUAUUUACCACCUAGACGCAGAUAGCAGGAGAAGUAAAUAAGAUAACUAAAAGCAAUGAAAUUAGGGAAAAAGUCAUACUUUUGAAAUUACUAAUAAUCAUGGAAUGCACACUAAACCUCAAUGAUAAAUUUAAAACAUAUUUUGUGUUAUUGAGGUAGACUACACUUGCUACAUUCAAGAUUGUGAGAACAAGAUUGUGUAACCCUAAUAAAUCCCAGUUCUCUGAUAGCCCAGUCAUACUUAAAGGAAUACAAUGUAGCAACAAAAACUUGAAAAUCAAAUGCCAAUUUUUAAUUGCGUAGCUCAAAGAAUGUAACACAGGAUCCUAUAAUCCACACAGCAACACUUCUCAAACAUCCUUUUUCCUUUCCUCCCUGAUUCUCUCAUAACCAAAGCCAUUUGAGGACCUAUGCUUUCUAGCACAAACAAAAACAUCAAAAAUGGACUCUCCCACGUACAGAGUUCCUGACUCUCUCUUCCUCAACCUAUAUCCCUCAGCUUCGUAUGAUGUAAAUUUGCUUAGUUUCUGGGCUUUUAAAAAUUUUCUUUACAUUUGCCCUAUUGUACCCAUCAUUCAGAUUCUAAACAAGAAGAGCCAGGAAACAAAAACCUGAUUCCUUUUAUUUUGUAUCUUCAGCCAAUUGUCUUCGCGCCCAAACUUCAGAUUUCAUGCUCCAGAGUCGGGGGCAAUGAUAGAACAUUAUUACAUGGGGAUGGAAGGAGAAGCACUGAGUAGAGAAAAGUAAAAUUCUCUUUAUUACAGGGAGUGGAGGAAGUGAGAAAGGAGAGGGGAAAAGGCGAGGCAUAUUCAUGUCUUAAAUUUUCCACACUCUCAGAGAAUCCAUUUGACCAGUUCAUUUCAUUCAUUGUAGAUCUAAGAAAAUGCAACAUGUAUAUAAGAAAGAAAAUGGUAGCUUUUUGGUGGCAAAAGACAAGAAAGGCUAUUCAUAGUGUAACAUUUCAUGAACAAAUCUAGGAUGAUAACAGGAUAAAAUAUUUCCCAGCAGCAAUUUUGAUUUCCUCUUUGUUUGGAAAGACCACGAAAGAGAAACAUACCAUUUCUCUGAAGUUGCCAUAAAAUACUCCUGAUAGAUUUUAGAAUUCUAUGAUG